rnacentral:tRNA from 1 species
GCAGUGGUGGUUCAGUGGUAGAAUUCUUGCCUUCCAUACAGGAGACCCAGGUUUGAUUCCUGAUCAAUGCA